UCCCUGGUGGUCCAAUGGCUAAGACGCCUCGUUUCCAAUGCAGGAGGGCUGGGUUCAACCCCCGGUCAGAGAA
rnacentral:tRNA from 1 species